rnacentral:rRNA from 1 species
UACGAAGGGGGCUAGCGUUGCUCGGAAUCACUGGGCGUAAAGGGUGCGUAGGCGGGUCUUUAAGUCAGGGGUGAAAUCCUGGAGCUCAACUCCAGAACUGCCUUUGAUACUGAGGAUCUUGAGUUCGGGAGAGGUGAGUGGAACUGCGAGUGUAGAGGUGAAAUUCGUAGAUAUUCGCAAGAACACCAGUGGCGAAGGCGGCUACCUGGCCCAAUACUGACACUCAGGUGCGACAGCGUGGGGAGCAAACAGG